CAUAGAAUGUUAAGCACUACACCAUGACUUAAGAUUAGAUUCAAGGAGACCUAUUAAGAAUAGAAUUUCUUGUAGGCUUUGUGGACCAAGGGGAUUAGCACUGCUUUCCCAAGACAGGUUAUGUGAUUAUGAUCUUCAGGCUUUGCCUAUCCAGGUUGGCUGGCCGGUGCUGACGGGACGGAGCUGAGGCUAGAGUUAAAUUCCUAUGUUAGACUUCCGCUGUAGCAAUUACUCAUAUCAGUCUUUUGUUUUCCCAACUUAAGAUCUUCAUGUUAAAUUUCAAAUGAUAUACCUGACCGAGCUUAGACUCUUCACUACUUAAUUUAUGCCAAUGAAUGUCGGUUGUCAGAAGCAUGAAACAAAAC